rnacentral:rRNA from 1 species
UACGUAGGGGGCUAGCGUUGUCCGGAAUCAUUGGGCGUAAAGAGCGUGUAGGCGGCCAAGCAGGUCCGCUGUGAAAACUCGAGGCUCAACCUCGAGACGUCGGUGGAAACCGUUUGGCUAGAGUCCGGAAGAGGAGAGUGGAAUUCCCGGUGUAGCGGUGAAAUGCGCAGAUAUCGGGAAGAACACCCGUGGCGAAGGCGGCUCUCUGGGACGGUACUGACGCUGAGACGCGAAAGCGUGGGGAGCGAACAGG